AGAGCAAAUCGUUCUAUCGCGUUAUGCUUGCAUAAUGAGGAAAGUCCGGCCAGCAAAGAGCAUCUAACCCGGGGAAACGCGGGGUGUAGCAAUGCAACAGCUAGUGCCACAGAAAAUAAACCGCCAGGCCUUUGGCUUGGUAAGGGUGAAAAGGUGAGGUAAGAGCUCACCAGUUAUGACAGUAAUGUUGUAAGCUAGGUAAACCUUUAGAGCUGAAAGAUCAAAUAAACCAAGGAUUGAGGGUUGCUCGCCCAAUCUUGGAGGGUAGAUCGAAAGAGGGUAAAAGUAAUUUUAUUCCCAGAUAAAUGAUAGAAAUCCAAUGAAAAUUGGAUAACAGAAGCCGGCUUAUAGAUUUGUUAUUUUA
rnacentral:RNase_P_RNA from 1 species